AGCAGCCGCGGUAAUUCCAGCUCCAAUAGCGUAUAUUAAAGUUGUUGCAGUUAAAAGCUCGUAGUUGAAUUUCGGGGUCAGCAGGUUGGUCGUGCCAACGGUAUGUACUGGCUUUGCUGAUUCCUCCUUCUUGUAGAACUGUAAUGCCAUUAAUUUGGUGUUGCAGGGAAACAGGACUGUUACUUUGAAAAAAUUAGAGUGUUUAAAGCAGGCUUU
rnacentral:rRNA from 1 species